rnacentral:lncRNA from 1 species
UCUCCUGGAAGUGGGUUCAGGAAGGUCACACCCAGACUCUAUUAUGGGAAUUUAUUCACUUAGGAGUGAAACCCAUUGGAAAGAUGACAAAGUAUUUUAAAAUUUUGGCAUCGGCUAAUGGCACAUAGCUUUUUUCUAUCCUCAGCUCUGUCCUGCCAGUCGAUAAGAAGAAAAAAGAGGAUUGCCCAGGCCCUGAGGCAUGCCAAAUUCUUAGUCCAGUAACUGGCGGUAUCCCCACCCCAUCCCCUAUCCCACCAAACCCCAAACUCCCCGAGGGCUCACCUGUUUAACUAGAGUUCAGAAUAGACAAGGCAGUCACUGUGAGAAGUCAACCUGAGAUCCUCU